rnacentral:rRNA from 1 species
GUCUUUUUGAGUAUAAUUUAAAGUCUAAUCUGCCCACUGAUUUAGUAUUAAAGGGCUGCAGUAUUAUAACUGUACAAAGGUAGCAUAAUCAUUAGUUUUUUAAUUGGAAACUUGUAUGAAAGAUUUGAUGAAAUAUUAACUGUCUCUUAUUUUUUAUUAGAAUUUUAUUUUUUAGUAAAAAAGCUAAAAUAAUUUUAAAAGACGAGAAGACCCUAUAGAGUUUUAUAUUUAAUUUUAUUUUAAAUUUAUAUAAAAAUUAAUUUUAAAAUAAAAUUAAAUAUUUUAUUGGGGUGAUAGAAAAAUUAAAAUAACUUUUUUUAAAUAAUAAACAUAAAUAAAUGAUUAAAUGAUCCAUUAAUAAUGAUUAUAAGAAAAAAUUACCUUAGG